rnacentral:rRNA from 1 species
UAGGGAAUCUUCGGCAAUGGACGAAAGUCUGACCGAGCAACGCCGCGUGAGUGAAGAAGGUUUUCGGAUCGUAAAACUCUGUUGUUAGAGAAGAACAAGGACGUUAGUAACUGAACGUCCCCUGACGGUAUCUAACCAGAAAGCCACGGCUAACUACGUGCCAGCAGCCGCGGUAAUACGUAGGUGGCAAGCGUUGUCCGGAUUUAUUGGGCGUAAAGCGAGCGCAGGCGGUUUCUUAAGUCUGAUGUGAAAGCCCCCGGCUCAACCGGGGAGGGUCAUUGUAAACUGGGAGACUUGAGUGCAGAAGAGGAGAGUGGAAUUCCAUGUGUAGCGGUGAAAUGCGUAGAUAUAUGGAGGAACACCAGUUGCGAACGCGGCUCUCUGGUCUGUAACUGACGCUGAGGCUCGAAAGCGUGGGGAGCAAACAGG